AUACUUACCUGGACAGGGUCAAUGGGUGAUCACCAAGGCCCAUGGCCUAGGCUGGUACUUUCCAUUGCACUUGGGAAAGGUGUCUGCCUAAGGUCUAUCCAAGUGAUAGAGCCUAUGUCAUAAUUUGUGAAAGUAGGGGCUGCGUUCGCGCGGUCCCUGU